rnacentral:rRNA from 1 species
UACGGAGGGAGCUAGCGUUGUUCGGAAUUACUGGGCGUAAAGCGCACGUAGGCGGCUAUUCAAGUCAGAGGUGAAAGCCCGGGGCUCAACCCCGGAACUGCCUUUGAAACUAGAUAGCUAGAAUCUUGGAGAGGUCAGUGGAAUUCCGAGUGUAGAGGUGAAAUUCGUAGAUAUUGGGAAGAACACCGGUGGCGAAGGCGGCUCACUGGCUCAUUACUGACGCCCAGGCGCGACAGCGUGGGGAUCAAACAGG